CAUUGAUAGAAGAACAUGAACAAUUUCGAUCGUGACAAGGAGAGAGCAUUGAGUGGGGUAGAUUUGAGCAGGAAGGGUUCAAUUGAUGAAAAGAUACAUGCUCUAGUCGCUCUUUUAAACACAUCGACUGAUUUCUUCACCACGAGCUCCUGUUCUGGUAGAAUAAUCAUUUUUGAUGACAGUAAAAAAGGAGGUGACACAUCUGUGAAGAAGAAAGGUUGCAAAUGGUUGUAUACAACACAUGACGAAGCAGAGUACGAUGCAGCUAUUGCAGGACUUCAGUUCUUGAAUGGAGAUUCGGUAUUCAAGUUUGAGCCCUUUGUUUUACAUGUUCAGUGCAAGUCUCUAAGUAGUGCCCAGUCUAUGCUAAGUUGUGCUGUGGCAUCAGGAUUUCGAAAUUCUGGCAUCAGUUUUGGAAAUAAAGGAAAGAUAAUUGUGGCUGUAAGAAGUACCCAUGGUUUGGAGGUCCCUUUAUCACUGGAUGGAGAACUCCUGGUAACAUAUAAGUACAUUGAAAAACUUGUUCAAAUUGCGAAUAAAAAGAUGCAGGAAAAUAUUCUACGAAUUGACAGAUUUUUUGCAAAUGUCACAUCAACGUUAGAGACAUUAAAUAGUGCUGAUGUUUGUGAUAGCAACUUGGCAGUAAAUAAUUCGAAUGUGACUAAACACAAAAGAAAAAAGCAUGAAAAAGUGAAAGUGAAGCACUCUGCUGGGACUUCCAUUGAAAAACACAGAACAAUAUCCAGUGACAAAAUCAUCAUUGACGAUUUAUCAGAAUGUUCAUUAUUUGACAAUGUGACCUGACUGUGUUCAUCUUUUGAAAUAGAUGUUUUAAACAUUUUUCAAUAAGAAGUCAGCUUAUAUAUAUCCCACUGGUAUGAACGUUUUUCUACAUCACCAUAUUACUAAGUGGCAAUGAAAUUAUCAAAUUUACGUGCAUAUUUCAUGCCAGAAAAAAGUGACAUCAAAUACAGGUCAAUGUAUUACGAACAAAGAAUAACUGCACUUCAAAAAAGGAAAUAAAGCGCAGAUUCAAAAAUACUGUAA